ensembl:lncRNA
UGUGUGUGUGUGCAGUGAGGUCUUCAGCUGAGGCUUCUCACGGUACAGAGGGCGGAAAGGGAAAAAAGAAGGAUUGAGUCGGGAGAAGAUUGUAUCAAAAUAAGAGAACCCCAAAGCUGCCUCAUUUCCGAAGAACAGAUCAGACCCACAGCGCGAAGCCAUGCUCCUACCAUCCCACAGAUGUGUGUUACGUGUCAGGCUGGGGCAAGACACCUUUCCCCCAUCCUGCCUGUGGAUUUCUCUUGGCUUGGUCUCUGUCCUGUUCCAGGUGCAAUCAAGGUGGAACUGCACUGUUUUGCAAACGGCAUGUUUUAAUAUGCCGUGGGACAUGCCGAAACUGUAAAUAAAGGCACUAUUUUCCAUACUGUCAGAAGUGGGUGUUUAGCACUGAUGUCCUUUGCACACAUCUUUAUUACCUGCCUCAUUUCUUUGAAAAUACGAACUUCUAAAACUUCUUUCCUCCAAGUAUGUAAGUAGA